GACAGAAUGAGAUGUGUUUGUAUCACGCACUACUCAGAAUCACUUUAAGGCCACGGAUGUGCAGAAGGCGCUGUGCUGUUUUGCGACAGUGAAAGAAAUGAUUCAGAUGCUGUUUCACGAAGGAGGACAUGGCUGCAGCUGAUGUUCCAGCGCUACUCAUUGUGUUGCUGGUGAGCUUUUGUAGAGAGAGCUGCGAAGCCGCAGGAUGGACAGAGAUCAGAAAUCCGAACAAUUUCCAGUACAUUGCAUUAGCAAGGUUUGCUUACUGGACUCAAAAUCGUCAAAAUCCUGACAACUUGUCGUUUCUGGUAACACAAGCCAGAUGGAAGGUACAGCAUAUUGGAGCAACAACAUACAACAUUGGAUUCAUUGUCCAGCAGGGAGAAACGCUUAUCGAGAAAUGUAUCGCCCUACUUACGAUACCCCCACUCAACACAGGUGGAAGGAGAAGGGUGGUGAAUAGAUUUUGGUGCAGACCAGUUGCGUAGCCAGAAAUUGUUUUGUAGCGCGGGUGCACCGCAGCCUGCAGCGCCACAACUUACAGCAAAUCCUGAUGACCAAGGUCAGAAUCGCUCCAGAAACUGUUGACGAAUAAAAUGAUG